UACGUAGGUGGCAAGCGUUGUCCGGAAUUAUUGGGCGUAAAGCGCGCGCAGGCGGUCCUUUAAGUCUGAUGUGAAAGCCCACGGCUCAACCGUGGAGGGUCAUUGGAAACUGGGGGACUUGAGUGCAGAAGAGGAAAGCGGAAUUCCACGUGUAGCGGUGAAAUGCGUAGAGAUGUGGAGGAACACCGGUGGCGAAGGCGGCUUCCUGGACCGACACUGACGCUGAGGCGCGAAAGCUAGGGGAGCAAACGGG
rnacentral:rRNA from 1 species